CUCACCCAGGCUCAGCCAUCCCCUUUCUGCCCGUCAGGAACGCCCCGGUCGACAUAGAAGGAAAAUUGUUUGCUGAAUUUCUGCACAGCCCUCCUUCCAAUUGCUGGAGAGAGAGGGGGAGUGAGAAAGAGAGAGAGUUUAAGGCAGGCUCUGCACUGGUGUUCUGGGCUAUUUCAACUUCAGGGCAACUUUAGAGAACUUCAGUUAUUUUUGGUUCUGGACGACAGCUGAGACCGCCUGAGCCCCCGGGAGAUGUUGAUGCCGAUGCAGAUGCAGAGGAUGAAGAUUCUGUUAAUGAAGUGGCAGUAGAAGACAUUCGUCCAAGGCCACAAGGGUCCUCUCCAGUUUAUGAGUAUCCCAUAGAAGAGGACUAU